GUUUGGAAACGAACGCUAAUACCGCAUGAAAUAUUGGCAUCGCAUGGUGCUGAUAUCAAAGGAGCAAUCCGCUGAGAGAUGGGCUCGCGUCCGAUUAGAUAGUUGGCGGGGUAACGGCCCACCAAGUCGACGAUCGGUAGCCGGACUGAGAGGUUGAACGGCCACAUUGGGACUGAGACACGGCCCAGACUCCUACGGGAGGCAGCAGUGGGGGAUAUUGCACAAUGGGGGAAACCCUGAUGCAGCGAUGCCGCGUGAGUGAAGACGGCCUUCGGGUUGUAAAGCUCUGUCGCAGAGGACGAAAAUGACGGUACUCUGCAAGAAAGCUCCGGCUAACUACGUGCCAGCAGCCGCGGUAAUACGUAGGGAGCAAGCGUUGUCCGGAAUUACUGGGUGUAAAGGGAGCGUAGGCGGGAGGAUAAGUUGAAUGUGAAAUCUAUGGGCUCAACCCAUAGCUGCGUUCAAAACUGUUCUUCUUGAGUGAAGUAGAGGCAGGCGGAAUUCCUAGUGUAGCGGUGAAAUGCGUAGAUAUUAGGAGGAACACCAGUGGCGAAGGCGGCCUGCUGGGCUUUUACUGACGCUGAGGCUCGAAAGCGUGAGUAGCCUUCAGGGUUAGAUACCCUGGUAUUCCACGCAUUAAACGAUGAUUUACUAGGUGUGGGGUGGACUGACCCCAUCCGUGCCGGAGUUAACACAAUAAGUAAUCCACCUGGGGAAUACGGCCGCAAGGUUGAAACUCAAACGAAUUGACGGGGGCCCGCACAAGCAGUGGAGUAUGUGGUUUAAUUCGACGCAACGCGAAGAACAAAACCAGGUCUUGACAUCAAGUGACGAAAAAAAAAAUACAUCUUCCCUUCGGGGCAGGAAGACAGGUGGUGCAUGGUUGUCGUCAGCUCGUGUCGUGAGAUGUUGGGUUAAGUCCCGCAACGAGCGCAACCCUUACCGUUAGUUGCUACGCAAGAGCACUCUAAUGGGACUGCCGUUGACAAAACGGAGGAAGGUGGGGAUGACGUCAAAUCAUCAUGCCCUUUAUGACCUGGGCGACACACGUACUAC
rnacentral:rRNA from 1 species